GGGUUCCUGGCAUGCUGAUUUGUGACUUAAAAUUAAAAUCACAUUGCCAGGGAUUACCAC
rnacentral:pre_miRNA from 2 species